rnacentral:rRNA from 1 species
UACGGAGGGUGCAAGCGUUAUCCGGAUUCACUGGGUUUAAAGGGUGCGUAGGUGGGUUGGUAAGUCCGUGGUGAAAUCCCCAAGCUUAACUUGGGAACUGCCGUGGAUACUAUCAAUCUUGAAUAUCGUUGAGGUAAGCGGAAUAUGUCAUGUAGCGGUGAAAUGCUUAGGUAUGACAUAGAACACCGAUAGCGGAGGCAGCUUACUAAGCGAUCAUUGACACUGAGGCACGAAAGCGUGGGGAGCAAACAGG